GGGAAAAUAGCUCAGUGGUAGAGCGGAUGCUUUGCACGCAUCAGGUCUCGGGUUCGAAUCCUGAUUUUUCCA
rnacentral:tRNA from 1 species